rnacentral:misc_RNA from 1 species
AACGCACCUUGCGCUCCUUGGUAUUCCGAGGAGCAUGCCUGUUUGAGUGUCAUGAAAUUCUCAACCUUUUCGACUUUUUCUAAGUCGACUAGGCUUGGAUGUGGGAGUUUGCGGGCUUCUCCGAAGUCGGCUCUCCUUAAAUUUAUUAGUAGGGACCUCUGUUGCCUUAGCUUUUGGUGUGAUAAUUAUCUACGCCAUCAUGUGAAGCAGCUUUAAAUUGGGGUUGCUGCUCUCUAACAGUCUCUUUGGUGGGACAAUUUAUGACAAUUUGACCUCAAAUCAGGUAGGACUACCCGCUGAACUUAA